UAAAACAUAUCAAGUCAUGAAAGGAUAUAUGAAAUAUAAAUAAAGUGAUCCAUAUCAAGUCAUGGAAGAAGAAUGCAAGCAAAUAACAAGUUAUCAAAUCAAAAUAAGCAACAACAUCACAUUCAAAUUAAGCAUCAAAGCAUAUGAUCAACAUGUAAAUUUGUAAAGUGAAAUGAAUACAAGUGUGGACAGUUUAGACGUAGCCAAUGACAUAUUAUAGAAUUUUUGAAAUCAGAUCAAAGCAUCAAUACAUAAAGAAAAC
rnacentral:lncRNA from 1 species